rnacentral:rRNA from 1 species
UGGGGAAUAUUGGACAAUGGGCGAAAGCCUGAUCCAGCCAUGCCGCGUGUGUGAAGAAGGUCUUCGGAUUGUAAAGCACUUUAAGUUGGGAGGAAGGGUUGUAGAUUAAUACUCUGCAAUUUUGACGUUACCGACAGAAUAAGCACCGGCUAACUCUGUGCCAGCAGCCGCGGUAAUACAGAGGUUGCAAGCGUUAAUCGGAGUUACUGGGCGUAAAGCGCGCGUAGGUGGUUUGUUAAGUUGGAUGUGAAAGCCCCGGGCUCAACCUGGGAACUGCAUCCAAAACUGGCAAGCUAGAGUACGGUAGAGGGUGGUGGAAUUUCCUGUGUAGCGGUGAAAUGCGUAGAUAUAGGAAGGAACACCAGUGGCGAAGGCGACCACCUGGACUGAUACUGACACUGAGGUGCGAAAGCGUGGGGAGCAAACA